UACAGAGGGGGCAAGCGUUGUUCGGAAUUACUGGGCGUAAAGGGCGCGUAGGCGGCCUUCUAAGUCGAACGUGAAAUCCCCGGGCUCAACCCGGGAACUGCGUCCGAUACUGGAAGGCUUGAAUCCGGGAGAGGGAUGCGGAAUUCCAGGUGUAGCGGUGAAAUGCGUAGAUAUCUGGAGGAACACCGGUGGCGAAGGCGGCAUCCUGGACCGGCACUGACGCUGAGGCGCGAAAGCUAGGGGAGCAAACGGG
rnacentral:rRNA from 1 species